UGCCAUGUGGAGAUUCUCACCCGACACCUGU
rnacentral:piRNA from 1 species